rnacentral:rRNA from 1 species
AUUGAACGCUGGCGGCAUGCUUUACACAUGCAAGUCGAACGGUAACAGGUUAAGCUGACGAGUGGCGAACGGGUGAGUAAUGCAUCGGAACGUGCCCGAUCGUGGGGGAUAACGCAGCGAAAGCUGCGCUAAUACCGCAUACGAUCUGAGGAUGAAAGCGGGGGACCGUAAGGCCUCGCGCGAUCGGAGCGGCCGAUGUCAGAUUAGGUAGUUGGUGGGGUAAAGGCCCACCAAGCCGACGAUCUGUAGCUGGUCUGAGAGGACGACCAGCCACACUGGGAAUGAGAGACGGCCCAGACUCCUACGGGAGGCAGCAGUGGGGAAUUUUGGACAAUGGGCGAAAGCCUGAUCCAGCAAUGCCGCGUGCAGGAAGAAGGCCUUCGGGUUGUAAACUGCUUUUGUACGGAGCGAAAAGGUCCUUUCUAAUACAGGGGGCUCAUGACGGUACCGUAAGAAUAAGCACCGGCUAACUACGUGCCAGCCGCCGCCGUAA